UACGUAGGGGGCAAGCGUUGUCCGGAUUUAUUGGGCGUAAAGAGCGUGUAGGCGGCCAAACAGGUCAGCUGUGAAAACUCGAGGCUCAACCUCGAGACGCCGGUGGAAACCAUCAGGCUAGAAUCCGGAAGAGGAGAGUGGAAUUCCUGGUGUAGCGGUGAAAUGCGCAGAUAUCAGGAAGAACACCCGUGGCUAAGGCGGCUCUCUAGUACGGUACUGACGCUGAGACGCGAAAAGCGUGGGGAGCGAACAGG
rnacentral:rRNA from 1 species